rnacentral:rRNA from 1 species
AACGAACGCUGGCGGCAUGCCUAACACAUGCAAGUCGAACGAGACCUUCGGGGGUACACGAGUGGCGAACGGGUGAGUAACACGUGAGCAACCUGCCCUUGACACUGGAAUAACAGUUGGAAACAGCUGCUAAUACCGGAUAUGACCUUCGGUGACAUCACCUGGAGGUGGAAAGUGCUUAGCGGUCAAGGAUGGGCUCGCGGCCUAUCAGCUAGUUGGUGAGGUAACGGCUCACCAAGGCUUCGACGGGUAGCCGGCCUGAGAGGGCGACCGGCCACACUGGGACUGAGAUACGGCCCAGACUCCUACGGGAGGCAGCAGUGGGGAAUAUUGCACAAUGGGCGCAAGCCUGAUGCAGCAACGCCGCGUGCGGGAUGACGGCCUUCGGGUUGUAAACCGCUUUCAGUUCCGACGAAGCGCAAGUGACGGUAGGAACAGAAGAAGGACCGGCCAACUACGUGCCAGCAGCCGCCGUAAUAC